AUCGUUCAUCCCCACUAGGUAAGUAUAACUAGUCUGAAAGGAUAAGGUCUAUCCCAAGAAGGGGACGGAAGUAAGGGUCAUUCCUGAAGGAACGCGCU
rnacentral:ncRNA from 2 species